GGGAAAUACUGGGGGUCGCAUUCUGCACUGGUUUCUGGAAGCUGUGUCGUAAAUGAGUCUAGGCGGAUCUAGGGGAUGGUUUUAGGGGGUCAGGGUUUCGUGAUAGUUCUGCUUGAGAGGCUGUCUGAGGGGUUUUUUUUGUGCUCAGGGCAGGGGCUGGGCUGUUUCCAGGUCGCCCCGUCUCAGGGCUGGCCGAUAACAGAGCCUCAGCCCUUGAGUCCCUAUUCUGCCUGUGUAUUAACACUGCUUAUCUGCACUCCGAUAGAGCUGUGUGCCAUUUGCCUUUCGGAGGAAUUAGCUUGUCUUCCCUGGCUAACCAGGCAGUGGUGAUUAACCUUUCCACUGUUCAAUAUCCUCUCUGCUGUCUCCCUGUUCAGAUUAGACUCAACAUCAUUACUGUAGGUAUGACUCCAGAAAUGAGCUGCUGCUAGUUUAAAAAAAAAAAAAAAAAAAAAAAAAACAAGGCUUAGGAGAAGAUAUUUUUGUGUGUGAGGAGGGAGUCUGACCAAACGUUUUAUUUCUCGAAGGCUCAAGUAAACACACACAAUUUUUUAUUCAGCCGAGACUAUAAAUAUUCAGCAUCACUGAGCGCAUAUAUCACCUCAGUGGAAUAAGUAAUGAAACAGACACAGUUUGUCAAUUUGACCCAACUGUCAAUCACUUUUUCUCCAUAAAUCAGUAAUCCAUUAACCAGCCCUCCCUCCCUGCGAGUGAUUAUUUGCUAUUAUUCAACAAAUAUCAUAAUACGUUUUUCACACACACCCGGAGGCACAUCCACAAAUCAAUUAUUUCCUCACAAAGACUUGAAAGUACUUAGCAAGAUGCCUGACGGAAAAGCUGCGGGUUAUAUCAAAUUGAACCUCUCAUUUGUUUCUCUCGCUCACACACACACACACACAAUCUCACAGCACAAUUAGCCAGCGCCUGCCGCGUUUGUUUGGCCCACUUUAAUUCUGCCUGGCAUAUCUACGUUACUACAGAAUAAACCGGCAUACAAAUACCA
ensembl:lncRNA